rnacentral:tRNA from 1 species
GGUUCUAUGGUGUAAUGGUUAGCACUCUGGACUUUGAAUCCAGCGAUCCGUGUUCAAAUCUCGGUAGAACCU